UUCGUUGUCGACGAAACCUGCAC
rnacentral:miRNA from 1 species